rnacentral:rRNA from 1 species
CAGUAGCCACGGUAAUACGAAGGGUGCAAGCGUUAAUCGGAAUUACUGGGCGUAAAGCGUGCGUAGGCGGUUUGUUAAGUCUGCUGUGAAAUCCCCGGGCUCAACCUGGGAAUGGCAGUGGAUACUGGCAAGCUAGAGUGUGUCAGAGGAUGGUGGAAUUCCCAGUGUAGAGGUGAGAUUCGUAGAUAUUGGGAAGAACACCGGUGGCGAAGGCGGCAACCUGGUCCAUAACUGACGCUGAGGCGCGAAAGCGUGGGGAGCAAACAGGAUUAGAUACCCGUGUAGUCCCUGUCUCUUAUAC